rnacentral:rRNA from 1 species
CAGCCGCCGCGGUAAUACGUAGGUGGCAAGCGUUGUCCGGAAUUAUUGGGCGUAAAGGGCUCGCAGGCGGUUUCUUAAGUCUGAUGUGAAAGCCCCCGGCUCAACCGGGGAGGGUCAUUGGAAACUGGGAAACUUGAGUGCAGAAGAGGAGAGUGGAAUUCCACGUGUAGCGGUGAAAUGCGUAGAGAUGUGGAGGAACACCAGUGGCGAAGGCGACUCUCUGGUCUGUAACUGACGCCGAGGAGCGAAAGCGUGGGGAGCGAACAGGAUUAGAUACCCCAGUAGUCCCUGUCUCUUAUAC